rnacentral:rRNA from 1 species
UACGAAGGGGGCUAGCGUUGCUCGGAAUUACUGGGCGUAAAGCGCACGUAGGCGGAUCGUUAAGUCGGGGGUGAAAUCCUGGAGCUCAACUCCAGAACUGCCUUCGAUACUGGCGAUCUCGAGUUCGGGAGAGGUGAGUGGAACUGCGAGUGUAGAGGUGAAAUUCGUAGAUAUUCGCAAGAACACCAGUGGCGAAGGCGGCUCACUGGCUCGAUACUGACGCUGAGGUGCGAAAGCGUGGGGAGCAAACAGG